GCCGAGAUCGCAUAGCCUGGUAUUGCGCAAGACUGGAAAUCUUGUGGGAUUUUCCCUCGGGAGUUCAAAUCUCCCUCUCGGCGCCA
rnacentral:tRNA from 6 species